GCCACUCCUACGGGAGGCAGCAGUGGGGAAUAUUGCACAAUGGGCGCAAGCCUGAUGCAGCCAUGCCGCGUGUAUGAAGAAGGCCUUCGGGUUGUAAAGUACUUUCAGCAGUGAGGAAGGUGGGUAUGUUAAUAGCAUAUUCAUUUGACGUUAGCUGCAGAAGAAGCACCGGCUAACUCCGUGCCAGCAGCCGCGGUAAUACGGAGGGUGCGAGCGUUAAUCGGAAUUACUGGGCGUAAAGCGCAUGCAGGUGGUUUGUUAAGUCAGAUGUGAAAGCCCGGGGCUCAACCUCGGAAUUGCAUUUGAAACUGGCAAACUAGAGUACUGUAGAGGGGGUAGAAUUUCAGGUGUAGCGGUGAAAUGCGUAGAGAUCUGAAGGAAUACCGGUGGCGAAGGCGGCCCCCUGGACAGAUACUGACACUCAGAUGCGAAAGCGUGGGGAGCAAACAGGAUUAAAUACCCUGGUAG
rnacentral:rRNA from 1 species